CAGCUGCUGACCCAAAUGCGAGGUGCUUCGUAUUUGGAGGGAUCGGGGAUCAGGAAAGAUGGGGUAGCAGGACCUGAGGGAUAACCAGUUAUUUGCACUUUGGAGAAUGGGAGGAGAGGCAAAUGGCAAAAACGGGGGUUGGGGAAAGGGGCAGCUUAAGAAAAUCCAAAUGGUCUGAAAAGGGCGAAAAGAGGCGUCAGGGCACUGCUCUUAUGGGGCUACCCAUCCCCACCCCCCACUCUCGCCCCACCCCUAGGCCUUUGUGUUUUCUAAAAAUCCACUACUCUAUGAAGAAGCUUCGGGAGAAGGAGAAGAGCUAACCUUGGGUAGCUGCUGUUCCUUCAGUCUGAGCCACACACUCAGCCACCCCAGCCAACCUGAAGAUCUGCAGCAUGAAGCAGAGCUAUGCUCACAGACUCACAGAUCUGUGUGUGAGAAAACAAGACUGUUGUUUAAGCUACCGACUUUUGGG
rnacentral:lncRNA from 10 species